rnacentral:lncRNA from 1 species
GCGACCUGCAAAUUGCAAUGCAUUACGUGCGUGGCUUCUCAUCAAGUGAUCGAGUUAGAAUGUUACUUAGAUCAUAAAGGGAGCUUGUUGAAUUAAAGCACCUGCCUGUUGAGCAGGGGGCGGCGGAAGAUGGAGUCCAUGGCGAAGAGGAUGCUGUUGCUCAACGCCCACUGGGCACUGGCAGGCCCGUCUGAACCUCCUCAGGAGAGUCCGCCGCGCGACAGCCGUGCUCUCCAUCUUUUGGUCCUCCAUCUCUUAUUAGAAACAGGUAAGAAAAGGGUUUCAAGUUAAAGCACCCAUAAAAGUUUCAACCAAAAAGUAACCCGAUCGGUGCGUUUGCGUGGCUUUCGCAAACUCGCCGGCCGGAGGACGAACAAAUUAAACUAAAAGAUAGCCCGAGAAAGGGGGAGGGGGCCAGAGGAGGAGGAGGAGGCCACUCACCGGCGGGAGGCUGCAGAGAUGCUGGAGGAGCGUGAGUGAUCGAGGGCCGGGAUGAAGAAGAGUGUGAGAGGGACGAGGCCCGGUAUAAAAGGAGAGGGAUGAGAUAUAUAAGCAUGGCGCGUGGACCCCGGCCCCAUAACCCCAUGAAUCCAUGAUCAUGCACUCUGUUACCCCUUCCAUUAUCUUUUAG